UAGGGAAUCUUCGGCAAUGGACGAAAGUCUGACCGAGCAACGCCGCGUGAGUGAAGAAGGUUUUCGGAUCGUAAAACUCUGUUGUUAGAGAAGAACAAGGACGUUAGUAACUGAACGUCCCCUGACGGUAUCUAACCAGAAAGCAACGGCUAACUACGUGCCAGCAGCCGCGGUAAUACGUAGGUGGCAAGCGUUGUCCGGAUUUAUUGGGCGUAACGCGAGCGCAGGCGGUUUCUUAAGUCUGAUGUGAAAGCCCCCGGCGCAACCGGGGAGGGUCAUUGGAAACUGGGAGACUUGAGUGCAGAAGAGGAGAGUGGAAUUCCAUGUGUAGCGGUGAAAUGCGUAGAUAUAUGGAGGAACACCAGUGGCGAAGGCGGCUCUCUGGUCUGUAACUGACGCUGAGGCUCGAAAGCGUGGGGAGCAAACAGG
rnacentral:rRNA from 1 species